UGGGGAAUUUUUCGCAAUGGGGGAAACCCUGACGAAGCAACGCCGCGUGGAGGAUGAAGGCCUUCGGGUCGUAAACUCCUGUCGACCGGGACGAACGCUAUUGGGCCCAAUACGCCCGAUAGCGACUGUACCGGUGGAGGAAGCCACGGCUAACUCUGUGCCAGCAGCCGCGGUAAUACAGAGGUGGCAAGCGUUGUUCGGAAUUACUGGGCGUAAAGGGCGCGUAGGCGGUCCUGUCAGUCCCUUGUGAAAUCCCCGGCUCAACUGGGGAACUGCAAGGGAUACAGCAGGGCUUGAGUUCGGGAGAGGGAAGCGGAAUUCCGGGUGUAGCGGUGAAAUGCGUAGAUAUCCGGAGGAACACCGGUGGCGAAGGCGGCUUCCUGGACCGAUACUGACGCUGAGGCGCGAAAGCUAGGGGAGCAAACGGGAUUAGAUACCCUAGUAGUCCCUGAGCGGGCUGGCAAGGCGCAU
rnacentral:rRNA from 1 species